rnacentral:rRNA from 6 species
UUGACCUCGGAUCAGGA